rnacentral:rRNA from 1 species
AGAAUCUUUCGCAAUGGGCGCAAGCCUGACGAAGCGACACCGUGUGAACGAAGAAGGCCUUCGGGUUGUAAAGUUCUUUCGCCUGGGGACAAGUUUAUGGAAGGAUAAUUUUCAUAGAUUGAGGGUACCAGGUAAAGAAGCACCGGCUAACUCCGUGCCAGCAGCUGCGGUAAUACGGAGGGUGCAAGCGUUAAUCGGAUUUACUGGGCGUAAAGGGCGCGUAGGCGGGCUGAGAAGUCAGGUGUGAAAUUUCAUGGCUCAACCAUGGAGCUGCACUUGAAACUUUUAGUCUAGAGGAUAGAGUGGGGAAAGCGGAAUUCCACAUGUAGCGGUGAAAUGCGUAGAUAUGUGGAGGAACACCGGUGGCGAAGGCGGCUUUCUAACCUAUGCCUGACGCUGAGGCGCGAAAGCGUGGGGAUCA